rnacentral:tRNA from 1 species
GGUCCCGUAGUGUAGCGGUUAUCACGUCGCCCUGUCACGGCGAAGAUCGCGGGUUCGAAUCCCGUACGGACUA